AUACGUAGGGUGCGAGCGUUGUCCGGAAUUACUGGGCGUAAAGAGCUCGUAGGUGGUUUGUCGCGUCGUCUGUGAAAUUCCGGGGCUUAACUCCGGGCGUGCAGGCGAUACGGGCAUAACUUGAGUACUGUAGGGGAGACUGGAAUUCCUGGUGUAGCGGUGAAAUGCGCUGAUAUCAGGAGGAACACCGGUGGCGAAGGGGGUUCUCUGGGCAGUAACUGACGCUGAGGAGCGAAAGCAUGGGUAGCGAACAGUAUUAGAUACCCUGGUAGUCCAUGCCGUAAACGGUGGGCGCUAGGUGUAGGGGUCUUCCACGACUUCUGUGCCGUAGCUAACGCAUUAAGCGCCCCGCCUGGGGAGUACGGCCGCAAGGCUAAAACUCAAAGGAAUUGACGGGG
rnacentral:rRNA from 1 species